rnacentral:snRNA from 1 species
GGAUGUGAGGGUGAUCUGGUUGCAACAUCUGUCACCCUAUUGAUUGCCAGGGUUGUUUUGGUGAUCUGGUUGGCUAGGCAGCCUUCCUCCCUCACCGCUCCAUGUGUGUCCCUCAUGAAGUUGUGUGCUUGGUCGAAGAGGAUGACCAUCCCCAAUAGAGGAGGACUGGUCUUCCGUCAAGGGUAUACAAGUUACUGAGCUCCCCUGAAAGAACCUCCAAACAAGCUCGCAGGAGAAUAUACUUAAGUGAACAGUUAGGGACAAAAAUAAAGUUGCUUAAUGAUUUCGUU